rnacentral:lncRNA from 1 species
GGGUAGUGUUGACAGUAAAAGUUUCCUUGGCAGGCUUUUUUCCAGUCUUGUCCACACUCGGGGCGAACACCUUAUCCUUCUUGAAGUGGGUGAUCGGCUCAUUCUUUCCGUGAUUGGCGAUACUCAGCUCCAUGUCAUGGGAACGCGUUGCCAGCUCCUCAAACGUUCUUGGUUUUAUGCCUUGGAGAAUGUAAUGUAACCCCCAG